rnacentral:rRNA from 1 species
ACGCUGGCGGCAGGCCUAACACAUGCAAGUCGAGCGGUAGAGAGAAGCUUGCCUCUCUUGAGAGCGGCGGACGGGUGAGUAAUGCCUAGGAAUCUGCCUGGUAGUGGGGGAUAACGUCCGGAAACGGACGCUAACACCGCAUACGUCCUACGGGAGAAAGCAGGGGACCUUCGGGCCUUGCGCUAUCAGAUGAGCCUAGGUCGGAUUAGCUAGUUGGUGGGGUAAUGGCUCACCAAGGCGACGAUCCGUAACUGGUCUGAGAGGAUGAUCAGUCACACUGGAACUGAGACACGGUCCAGACUCCUACGGGAGGCAGCAGUGGGGAAUAUUGGACAAUGGGCGAAAGCCUGAUUCAGCCAUGCCGCGUGUGUGAAGAAGGUCUUCGGAUUGUAAAGCACUUUAAGUUGGGAGGAAGGGCAGUAAAUUAAUACUUUGCUGUUUUGACGUUACCGACAGAAUAAGCACCGGCUAACUCUGUGCCAGCAGCCGCGGUAAUACAGAGGGUGCAAGCGUUAAUCGGAAUUACUGGGCGUAAAGCGCGCGUAGGUGGUUCGUUAAGUUGGAUGUGAAAUCCCCGGGCUCAACCUGGGAACUGCAUUCAAAACUGACGAGCUAGAGUAUGGUAGAGGGUGGUGGAAUUUCCUGUGUAGCGGUGAAAUGCGUAGAUAUAGGAAGGAACACCAGUGGCGAAGGCGACCACCUGGACUGAUACUGACACUGAGGUGCGAAAGCGUGGGGAGCAAAC